UAGAAUAAACACUGCUUGACUGUUGCUGGCUCUUAACGAGCAAUUGUGCACGUCUAGCAAGUCUUAUCCACCUGUGCACCUUUUGUAGAUAUGAGAACAUCACCUCGAGAAAUAUCGGUUUGAGGAUUUGCAAUGUACGUUGCUGUCCUUGGAUGUCUUUCAAUCUAUGUAUUUUUACUAUACCCUUACAAAAAAAAAGUAACAGAAUGUAUACUUAUUGGCCUUUGCGCCUUUAAAAACACAAUA
rnacentral:misc_RNA from 1 species